rnacentral:rRNA from 1 species
CAGUAGGGAAUCUUCGGCAAUGGACGAAAGUCUGACCGAGCAACGCCGCGUGAGUGAAGAAGGUUUUCGGAUCGUAAAACUCUGUUGGUAGAGAAGAACGUUGGUGAGAGUGGAAAGCUCAUCAAGUGACGGUAACUACCCAGAAAGGGACGGCUAACUACGUGCCAU